rnacentral:rRNA from 1 species
ACUACAGGUGGCAGCAGUGAGGAAUAUUGGUCAAUGGACGAGAGUCUGAACCAGCCAAGUAGCGUGAAGGAUGACUGCCCUAUGGGUUGUAAACUUCUUUUAUAUGGGAAUAAAAUGUUCCACGUGUGGGAUUUUGUAUGUACCAUAUGAAUAAGGAUCGGCUAACUCCGUGCCAGCAGCCGCGGUAAUACGGAGGAUCCGAGCGUUAUCCGGAUUUAUUGGGUUUAAAGGGAGCGUAGGUGCCUUGUUAAGUCAGUUGUGAAUGUUUGCGGCGCAACCGUAAAAUUGCAGUUGAAACUGGCAGUCGUGAGUACAGUAGAGGUGGGCGGAAUUCGUGGUGUAGCGGUGAAAUGCUUAGAUAUCACGAAGAACUCCGAUUGCGAAGGCAGUUCACUGGACUGCAACUGACACUGAGGCUCGAAAGUGUGGGUAUCAAACAGGAGUAGAUACCCCGGUAGUC